GUGAUCCUCCCACCUUGGUCUCGCAAAGUGCUGGGAUUAUAGGUAUGAGCCACCAAGCCCAGCCUUUAACUGUUAUUUUUAAUAUCAGAGAUUCUUGAAGGUCUAAAAUUGUUGUUUAUAGUUAUUACUUAUCCUUUCCUAGUGGUUUGUUUCCUUGUAUUUUUUUUUUUAUUGUGAGCUCAAGUUACUUUGAAUGUAUUCUUUUGGAAUCCUGAGGGCCUAAGAUGGAUAUGAUCUCCUCCAGUGCUGAUCUAGUCUUGCUUCUGCAGGAAUCAGGCAUAUUAAUGAUCUGUGACCGUUACUUUUGUUGCCUUUACUAAAGAGUGGGUCCCAGGUUUAGUUAAGGAUUCUCAAAUUCGGCCUCCCCAUCCUGCUGGAGGGCCUGGGGUUUAUUCUCCUGACACUCCGUUUGUGUUCAGGACAACUGUACCUUUCCCAUUUGCUCACUUUCCUGUUUUUCUUGCUCAGGAUUUCGCUUAUUGACCUUUUUUUUUUCUGUCUUUUUUUGAGAGAGAAGGGUAGGAUAUGGGUAGGGAACAUUCUUAGUGAUUUCUUCAAGUAAGCCCAAGCAAUGCAUUAAAAAGCAUGUCCAGGUUCAAGUUGUAUUUUAACAAGAGAACCCUUAAGAAUAUCUACUCUUAUGGUACUGCUGGAAGCAGAAGUGGAUGCCACACUUUGUACCUCUAGGAAUUGGUGCUGUCACGGUUAGGACUAUACUUUAACCCAAGGAUAUUGCUACAAAUAAAGUAUUUUUUUUAUGCUUGAGAGAGACUAAAAUGUUAGGAAAAUCAGGUCUGCUGUGACUCUUGAGCACUGGGUUGGAUGAGGGUGGGUCUGUUCUACAAUUGAUUCAGUGGAAACUAACCUGAAAUUGGGGUGGGGUGGGGGAUGAACUUUUACAGGUGAUGUUAUAGGUCUGGAGCGGGGCGGGGGAAAGACCGAGGUGAUGGUGAUGGAAGGUGUGACUACUGUUGCCUACACACUGGAUGAAGGCCUCAUCGAGUUUGGAACAGCCAUUGAUGAUGGCAAUUACACCCGGGCAACAGCCUUCUUAGAGACUCUGGAAAUGACCCCAGAAACAGAGGCAAUGUGGAAAGCCUUGAGUCACUGGCGCUAGAGGCAAGGCAACUACACAUUGCGGAGAGGUGCUUUUCUGCUUUGGGCCAAGUAGCAAAAGCUCGAUUCCUGCAUGAGACCAAUGAGAUUGCAGAUCGAGUAUCCCAGGAAUAUGCAAGUAUUAUGCUCCUGAUUCAUUCCAUCUCCCAAACUGAUUUCUCGUAGUAUUCAGCCCCAUGAUUCCUAGCUUUCCAGCCAUCCCUAGUUUCCUUUACCCUGCCCACCCCACCUCUACCCACCAGACAGACCAUUUCAGAAUCGCUAAACCUCAAACCUUUAAGCUCCAUGAAGAGUUUUACCUUCCCAAAUAUUUUCUUUCUUUUUUUUUUUUUGUUUUUAACUUCCUGUUGAUUCGUAAGGUCUUUUAUUUUCUACAUCCAUCUGGCCUUCUAAUCUCAGCCCUCACA